UACGGAGGGGGCUAGCGUUAAUCGGAAUUACUGGGCGUAAAGCGUGCGCAGGCGGUUUUGUAAGUCUGUUGUGAAAUCCCCGGGCUUAACCUGGGAAUUGCGUUGGAGACUGCAAGGCUGGAGUCUGGCAGAGGGGGGGUAGAAUUCCACGUGUAGCAGUGAAAUGCGUAGAGAUGUGGAGGAACACCGAUGGCGAAGGCAGCCCCCUGGGUCAAGACUGACGCUCAUGCACGAAAGGCGUGGGGAGCAAACAGGAUUAGAGU
rnacentral:rRNA from 1 species